rnacentral:rRNA from 1 species
UACAGAGGGUGCAAGCGUUAAUCGGAAUUACUGGGCGUAAAGCGUGCGUAGACGGUUGCGUAAGUCAGAUGUGAAAGCCCCGGGCUCAACCUGGGAAUUGGCAUUUGAGACUGCGUAGCUAGGGUGCGGAAGAGGGAAGCGAAUUUCCGGUGUAGCGGUGAAAUGCGUAGAUAUCGGAAGGAACACCAGUGGCGAAAGCGGCUUCCUGGUCCAGCACCGACGUUCAGGCACGAAAGCGUGGGGAGCAAACAGG